rnacentral:lncRNA from 1 species
GACCGCUUGGGUAUUUCUCUGGUGUUUUACGCAGUCCACAGUACUAUUUCGUGGACCUAUCACGAUCAGACGGCCCAGGGAUGUCUCGGUCUUGAUCCAACGACUUGGGGCUUGAUUUGGCUUUAUUUAGAACUCCUAAUUCCUCUCUAAUUAGGUUUAAGCCCUUCAAAUAGGGCCUGAUCGGUGAAACAGAGGGUGCGGUCUUUUUUUUUUACCAUGGACGUGCCGUACGGAAUCCGUG